rnacentral:tRNA from 1 species
CUCGGCGAGGGCGGCGGACGCCCGGGCGCGGGCCUCGGCGCGGCCCAUGCCGUACAGCCGGGCCUGGAGUUCGAGCUCCUCGCCGAGC